UCGGACAUGGUGUACGGUACACGGCCUCUUGCAUUGACUGUUCAACCAAGCGUUCGGAGGCAGCUCGGGGUUCGACUCCCCGUGUCCGAG